rnacentral:ncRNA from 1 species
CGGUUGAAAUAGCAGGGAAAGUCCAGUGCAAUUCUGGCACUGUCGCGCAACGGUGAAAGUCCGAAUGCCUGUCCACAA